GAUGAACGCUAGCGGCAGGCCUAACACAUGCAAGUCGAGGGGUAGCAGGAUUAAGCUUGCUUAAUUGCUGACGACCGGCGCACGGGUGCGUAACGCGUAUGCAACCUACCUUAUACUGGGGUAUAGCCCGGAGAAAUUCGGAUUAAUCCCCCAUAGUACUGUUUUACCGCAUGGUAAGACAGUUAAAGCAUUGCGGUAUAAGAUGGGCAUGCGUCCUAUUAGCUAGAUGGUGAGGUAACGGCUCACCAUGGCUACGAUAGGUAGGGGGCCUGAGAGGGUGGUCCCCCACACUGGUACUGAGACACGGACCAGACUCCUACGGGAGGCAGCAGUGAGGAAUAUUGGUCAAUGGGCGCAAGCCUGAACCAGCCAUGCCGCGUGCAGGAAGAAUGCCCUAUGGGUUGUAAACUGCUUUUAUUUGGGAAUAAACCUCUUUACGUGUAGAGAGCUGAAGGUACCAAAUGAAUAAGCACCGGCUAACUCCGUGCCAGCAGCCGCGGUAAUACGGAGGGUGCAAGCGUUAUCCGGAAUCAUUGGGUUUAAAGGGUCCGCAGGCGGAUUUAUAAGUCAGUGGUGAAAUCCUAUCGCUUAACGAUAGAACUGCCAUUGAUACUGUAAGUCUUGAAUUCGGUCGGAGUGGGCGGAAUGUGUAGU
rnacentral:rRNA from 1 species